ACUCAAAUGAAUUGACGGGGGCCCGCACAAGCGGUGGAGCAUGUGGAUUAAUUCGUCACUAACCGAAGAACCUUACCCAGGCUUGACAUCGCGUGAAAGGCUGUGAAAGCAGUCCCUCCUCGCAAGAGGACACAAAGACAGGUGUUGCAUGGCUGUCGUCAGCUCGUGUCGUGAGAUGUUGGGUUAAGUCCCGCAACGAGCGCAACCCUCACCGUAUGUUGCCAGCGUAAAGUCGGGCACUCUUACGGAACUGCCCGUGCAAGCGGGAGGAAGGUGGGGACGACGUCAAGUCGGCAUGGCCCUUACGCCUGGGGCUUCACACAUGCUACAAUGGUUGGCACAGAGGGAUGCGAAGCCGCGAGGUGAAGCCGAUCCCAAAAAUCCAUCCUCAGUUCGGAUUGCAGGCUGCAACUCGCCUGCAUGAAGCUGGAAUCGCUAGUAACCGCCGGUCAGCGAAACGGCGGUGAAUACGUUCCCGGGCCUUGCACACACCGCCCGU
rnacentral:rRNA from 1 species